CUGAACGCCACACAUUUACAAGGCCUUACUGGCUUAAACAUGUACAGAUGAUAAGGUUGCACUGAGUUUUGAAAUGAAAAACUACAUUCAAGCUGUGAGCAUCAAUAUUUUAUUUCCAGAUUUAUAUCAUUCAGUGGUGGAUCCAGAAUAUCUUCACGGUAUAAAAAAGGGGGGUAUAGCGACCCAAGUUUGUACAUUUUGAACUCAUGAAAGGCGGGGGGAUGUUUAACACCACAAAAUGGCAGAAAUAAGCUUCUGUUUUAAAAUGAUAUUCAACCAAAUAGGAGGGAGAUGUAACCCCUUGUAGAUCCGCCACUGUCAUUGGAUUAAGGUAUUUUCUUGCCAGAUUCAUAUAUCCGUAUUCGGCUCUGUGGAAUUUAAACUUUAAGCAUGUUAUUAUUAGUAUACAGAGGUCAUAAGUUAUUUACAGAAACAAGUGCUUGUGACUUUAAGGUCCAAAUAAAAUGCAAGGAUAAGUUGUAGCUAAAGGUCAACGCUACAAAUAUUUCAUAUCCAUUAGGAAUGUACAUGUGUAUAUUAUUAUAUCAUUAUAACUUUAGGAAUAAGACUUAUACGGAGAUAUAAAAUUUGCAUAAAUUUCAAGAUUUAAAACUGUUUCAAAACAAAUUUGUAUUCAAUUCAUGUUUCUAUGAUUUAUAUACACAUCUCUUUAUUAUGCAUCAUUUGACAUGUUUUACUAUUUGUACUAUAUGCCUCUCGGGGUCCUUGUCCCGAGGGGAUCCAGGUUAGAGUAGGUCCUCAGUACCCCCCUUGCUCGACCAAAUGGGGCGGAUGAGACCGCAAAAACUGACGUCCCCGUGUCACAGCAGAUGUGGCACGAUAAAGAUCCCUCCCUGCUCAAAGGCCAUAAGUGCCGAGCAUAGGGCCUAAAUUUUGCAGCCCUUCACCGGCAGUGGUGACGUUUCCAUAUGAGUAAAAUAUUCUCGAGAGGGACGUUAAACAAUAUUCAAUCAAUCAAUCUCGGGGUCCUUGAUGGCAAUAAAUCAUCUCUAUCUGGGUGGAGGGUGUACCCUCUUCCCUCCAAUAGUUUUCAAUACACUGUUGCAACGCGACAGAUGCGGAGAUUGAAGCGAUUUAGGUACAUUUGUACUCCGGCGAUAGAAACUGAAGAAACAGAUUGAACAAGGAAACAAAUUUGAACAUUUCUAUCAUCAGCAAUAAAACAAUCAUUAAAACUUUGUUGUAAUGUAAAAAAUAUUUUGAAGCUGAAAUAUUGUCAAAUUUAUUUAAUUGAUAAAGAAAUUAAAAAUCAUAGAAAGUAA